rnacentral:rRNA from 1 species
UACGGGGGGGGCAAGCGUUGUUCGGAAUUACUGGGCGUAAAGGGCUCGUAGGCGGCCAACUAAGUCGGACGUGAAAUCCCUCGGCUUAACCGGGGGACUGCGUCUGAUACUGGAUGGCUUGAGUUCGGGAGAGGGAUGCGGAAUUCCAGGUGUAGCGGUGAAAUGCGUAGAUAUCUGGAGGAACACCGGUGGCGAAGGCGGCAUCCUGGACCGAUACUGACGCUGAUGAGCGAAAGCCAGGGGAGCAAACGGG